CAGGAGAAAUGUGGAGUAAACAGGAGCAACCGGAGUUAUCCAGUGAUGUACUUGUAAAGUUGUGGCGGAAACCGACGCACCUGCGUGUGGAAUCACAAAAUGAGGAAACGAAGACACCACAGCUUUUGAAGCACAACUGUAGCGCAGCCUUUGAAGACCUUGUGAUGACUGAAGCGGGAAGUGAAGUGUAGGUAAAAUUAUUUACA
rnacentral:lncRNA from 1 species